rnacentral:hammerhead_ribozyme from 16 species
AGUCGACUAACGUGGUCCUGAUGAGUCUAUAUAAGACGAAACGGGUU